UUAUCUAUAUUUUUAUUUGCCUUAAAUACUAGCUUACCUUCCUCCUAGUGUAUAUUAAAUGAGUGAUUUUAUAUUAAGACACCAACUAGAAGACCACCUAGUGGUGAUGUAUGGACACUGAAGUUCAUGUUUAAUUAUGUAAAACAAAUGUUAUUUAGUUAGUUGUGUGAUGUGUAAUUUUGUGGACUAGGAAAACAAAAAGUCUUAAGACAUAAAGUUAGAAUGACAUGGAAGAUACUUGACUUGUUAAAAGAUAUUGCAAGGUGGCUAGGUAUUUCAGCAGCAGUAAAUGCACACAUUUCCUAUAUACUCUUGACUCCAAAGUCUGUGAAUUGUAUCAAAGCUGAUAAGAUACACAGAACAUAUAGUGCAAAUUACAGUUAUCAGACUGAUUUUUAGUUUCAGUGUUGUAAAAACCACUACAGUUAUGAGUAAUAUCAUUGUUCAUUUUAUUUUUGUGAAGAAACAUUUGAUAAAAUGAAUAUGUACUUUCUUCAUGCUAAUGUUAAUAUUUAGUGAUCAUUAGCAAGCUGUGCAUCAUUAUCUUUUUUGAUACUUAAAAAGAAAUUUCAUGACAAAUUAUGUUAAUGAAAGUAUAAAUCAAGGUUCUUUUAUCAAAAAAAAAGUUUAGAGUAAAUCAUUCAGUUGUUUUUCUAUUUUCAGUCGAGUGUGUUCUAACUCGCAUGGUCUUAUUCGAAAGUAUGGACUGAGUAUAUGCAGAAGGUGUUUCAGGCAGUACGCCAAUGAUAUUGGAUUUAAAAAGCUGGAUUGAAAUAAGCAGUCAAUGAAACUCACUCCAGAAUGUUACCUGUUCCAGAAGGAACUUCAGCAUGAUUUUAUAUUAUCAAUUUGUACAGUAUCUUGUUGAAUAAAGAACUUCUGGACUA